GUUAGUUGCAUAAUGAGCGUUGGAUUAGAAAAACUAUGUUUUCAUUGGUUUUCAUGGUUGAAUGCAGAUCACAAAAAAAAAGAAAAAAGAGAAAAGAUUAUGAUUCAAUUGUUUCCCCAAAAUCAUUUUAGAAAUUGGUUCCCCCAAAAUCAAUAUCCCUCCCAAACUUGAAUCCACAAAAUUUCCCCCCCAGUUUUUCCCUCUAAUUUUAUCAAUAUCUCCAUCUACCUCUUUAAAAUUGAUUAUUUUCACCUGUUUAUUCAUAUACCCCCAAUUUUCAGACACAUUUAUUAUUUUCACCUGUUUAUUUUUUAACCUUGUUUUUCACUCUUUCUCUUUCUGUUCGAGAACUCCUAGAACCAGAGAUCGAUCUCUUUUAUUUCCCAGAAAUCUCAUAAAUCAAAACCUUCACUUCUAAUCAACAACUCCACUCAUAAUCAAAACCCAAAGAUCUCUUUAGUUGAUAAUCGAAGGAAACCAAAUCAAGACCUAGAAAUAUCAUCUAAAACCUAGAAAUUUAAUUUUGUUCCUGAAAUCGAAAAUCAAUUCAUCUAAUUGCUUUGUUGAUGUUCUAGAGGUAUCUUUGGCUUCGAUAGGUGAACUUCAGAGGUUAAGGUUUGAGUGAGAUUUGAGGCAGGUUACUACCUUAAGAUUUGGAUUUGUGCGGUAAUUCUGGAUUACUGAAAAUGGGGCGCUACAAUUUUCAGUUUAAUGUAUAGAUUUUGGUGACGUCCCUUUAAUGUUAAAAGUCCUCAAAAGUGAAUGAUUCGCAUACAGAGUUGGGUUUAUGGCUUGAGGUUUUGUAGAGUACAAUUGUGGUUCUAAGGACUUGAAAGGUAUUGACGUAUUGUGCACUGAACUUAUUCAUCACCGAGAAAGGUUUGUACUUCUAUGAUUCUGUAAUUUAUGCGUCUCUCGUAUUCUGUGUAGUCUAAUUUGCUUUCAGUAUGCUUAGAAUUCAGUUUGCUGGUCAUUUUAGAAAAUUGAUCUUUUGGUUUGCAGUGAAUUAUAGGCUUGAAUAUAAGAACAUGAGUAUAUACUUUUAUGGUAGAUAAUAAUCUUGUAUGUGCAUCAUUGUAGAAUGUCCCAACAUACUGAUAAAGCUUGGAUGUUUGAAGAUAGGUUUAGUCAUUUGUAUAGAACAGGAGUAGAUACUUUUAUUGCCUUCGCAUAUAAGAACAGAGCUAGAGACGCAUAAUUCUGUCCCUGUCCUUGUCAUGUUUGUUGUAAUGCGAAGUCUAAGUGUUUUGAAGAAGUGAGGCAUGAUUUGAAAGUGAAUGGCAUGUUAGUUACAUAUGUAAGUUGGUCACUACAUGGAGAGCAGCCAACAUUAUCAUUAAAGGUAGUUGCUGCAAAUGUAGAGAAAGAGGUACAUGUAAGUAUACUUCAGAAAUGUGAAUAACGACACUUAUUUCACUGCUUCAUACUCUUAGCUAACCACCAAGUUUCUAUUAUCAAAUUUCUAAAAAAACCGGGAGGUAAAAAAAUGGGAGGUCUGUUUGGGUUCAUGAACUUUAUUUAAGUUUGUGGUGGGCGCGGAUGUUUGGUACUCCCUGUCCCGCUCACUCUUCCUUUAUAUUGGAUUUCUUAACGAACUUGGGAGGAAGGCAGUUGGCCUGAGUGUCAUUGAUUAAGGUUAAAGUGACGGUUGUAUAUACAAAAUUUAUGGGGUUACAUCAAAAUAACUCGGUAUAGUACUAGUUAGUAAGGACAUUAAUGUUAUCUGUAAUUGAAAUUUGUGUUCUGGAAAAUAUUUUAGCCCACCUAGGCAUUAAAACCAACUUCCAUGAAUGUGGUCCAAGGACACAAAACGGGAUUACGUCGAAGUCGUUACUGAGGUAUAUUCCGUCAUGUGUAACAAUAAACACGCGAUGCACACGCUUUAAUGGCUAGCACACGCUUAAAUUUGUACAAACCCUAGGAGCUUCAUCGAGCCGGUAAUUUGGGAUAUUGGUUCCCUGUAUUCCUAAUUGAGACUCAAAUGUAAGUGUUUGGAUGUCGAUGUUGAAUAGUUAAAUUUUUAUCAGUAUAAUCUUAAUUACAAGAAUUUUAAUUGAGUUGAAUUAGUAUUAAUUUUAGUCAAAUUAUAUACAAGUUUUUAUUUUUAAUUGAAUAAUUCAUUUCCUUUUUUAUAAGAGAGAUGAAUACAUAGAGAGAAUAUUAGGAAUUUAAUCUCUAGGUUUGUUUAUAUAUUUUAAGGGGUUUAGGCUUUGGAAUGAAAAUACGUGGGAGCAAAGAAAAUCGAAAAUCAGGGUUCGUUUCUGUUAGUAUUACUAAUUGCUUAUACAUGGAUAGUGAUUGAAAGAUUUUGAUGUAGUAAUUGUUUGAUUGUUUUCUUUUUCCUGUAUUGUUGAGCUGAAGUAAAAUGAAUUUCGACUAAAUUUUGUACAAUGGUGGGGUUCAAACGCACGACCACGAACGCACACCCUUCCGCCUUAACCAACUGUUGAACAACCUAGGGGUGGGAAUUGUCAUGUCCCUUGUUAUACAAAGGUACCCAUGCUAUUUUUUUAAGGGCACCUAGGUGUAGUUACUAAUUAGUCAUUGAGUGUGUGUUUGGCACAUGUGAUGGGACAUUGCCCUAAUAAGUUAGAGUCUGUAUUCCUCUUUCAGUUCAGUGAAUAGAAUUGCGUUGUUAUGUUCUUCCGCCUCUUCGAGGUGUUUAUCUUCAAUUUAUACAGUGUAGAUCCCGUAGAAUUGAGCUUGAUUAUCCGUUUGUAGUGUAGAUCACUACAGACUUCUACUAAAUUAUCCAUGUCAUAUGAUACAAAAGUGUAAGAUAUUUAUUACAACACAUGGAUCACCAUGUCACGUUCCCCUUAAAAGAUUUGGCACCACUUUUUUAAACUCAGCCAGCUAGAUAGCUGCACGCCUGCACCAAGAGACCAAAUCGGUUCAACAAUCCCCAUCUGACAUAUCCUGGCGCCCAUCAUUCACUAGCCAAAUCCAAAUGGAGAAAACUAUAAAAUGUGUCAACAUGUUUACUAUCUACUAUGGGUGCUACAUUGGGCACUCCAACCUUAAAGAAGAGUUGAAGAUGAAAAGUUGGUGACCGUAGAUAUAAGUGUAGGAUUUCGGUACUAUCCUUCUGUAUCUCUACCGCCACCAUUUUUGAAGGCCCGCGACACCAUGUCUAUUACCUAUGCAGAUUCCAGUACCUAUCCUUACAUGGCUGAUUUCUCUAAUCCGGUGAGUGUGUCAUUUUUUUAUGGGUUUUUCAUGAUCACAAUAUGCGUUCUGAAAA